AAAGAACCGGCCCCCAUCAAUCGGGGGA
rnacentral:sRNA from 1 species